GGAGGAACUGUGGCUCAGCGGUAGGCCAGCUGCUCGGCUUGUGGAAGGUUCCGGGGUCCCGGGUUCAAACCCCGGCAUCUCCA
rnacentral:tRNA from 1 species